rnacentral:rRNA from 1 species
GUCCUAGCCGUAAACGAUGCACAUUAGACGUGAGGGGUAUCGACCCCCUUCGUGUCGACGCAAACGCAUUAAAUGUGCCGCCUGGGGAGGUACGGCCGCAAGGUUGAAACUCAAAGGAAUUGACGGGGGCCCCGGCACAAGCGGUGGAGCAUGUGGUUUAAUUCGACGCAACGCGAACAACCUUACCUAGGCUUGAACUGUCGGUAGUAAGAUCGAUGAAAGUCGAGAUGACCCGUAAAGUCGGAUGCCGAUAGAGGUGCUGCAUGGCUGUCGU